AAGCAGUGAAAAAACUUAAGUCAGAGUGUGCUGCAGAAAUGAGAAGGAGCACUGUGCCAAUACUAAUGGAUGAUACCCAGGCUGGACCUUCAACACAACCACCUGCUCCCAAUGACAACCUGUGGGAGCUGCUAGACAUGGAAGUCCGGGACAGCAGAGCCAACUCAAGUGCCACCAGAUUCUGUUACUGAAGUAAAGAGAUAUCUGUCUGAGGUUAACACUCCCCGCUCACAAGAUCCACUUCAGUACUGGAAAUCACAAAGGGAAGACUACCCUCACUUGUACAGACUUGCAAUGAAAUGUCUCUGUACACCGUCUUCAUCAGUGCCCUGUGAAAGGGUGUUCUCCAAAGCAGGAGAAAUAGUUUCCAAGCGACGUAAUCGCCUUGACCCUAAGAUGUUACAGCAGCUGAUGUUUCUGAAUAAAAACAAACACUCUUGUGUUUGUUUUCAGUGAAUUAAAUACAUUUAUUAAUCAUUUAAACUUUAUUGUCCCACAUGGGGCAUUUGUCUUGACAAUAAAGUGCAAGUUCAAGCAGGCACAACAAUACACAAUGAGUGAAAAGUCUUUAUUGAAGCAGCCUGCAAUGACUCUUUUCGUCCAGCACAUGUCGACAUUUAUACAGUAACAGUGUCGACACAGUGUCGACACAGUUUGGGAAAUGUGCCGAUACACACACUAAACUAUCAUCUACCCAUCCCUACUGCAAACUAAGAAACGAUUUCCAGAACAUGAAACGAUCUGCAAACCAAAAAUUACUUUCUGUAGGACAUUUUAGUACACCUAAAAUGCCAGUUACAGAACCAGGAUAGUGAUAUUUAGAAGUGAUUUGUAUACAAAAACAUGAUCUGAACAUUUCAAGCCCACUUAUAAUCAUUUUAUGUUACAAAAUCCUGAAUGUGUUUACCUGCACUGGUACUGGGUUGUGCAACAUCAACUUGUGCAUCAGUAGCAGGUGUCUCCACUUAACAUGCUUUAAAAAAGUUAUGUUUUUGCCACAUGCACAGCAAAAGGCAUCAGAAGCUCCAAGCACAGAUCCACAGAAUGGACAGUACAUCUGCAAAAGAAAAAGAAAUGGUUUAGGUAUGGAGGACUGUAAUAAUUUGGAAAUUGUUUCUUAGUUUGCAGAUCGUUUCUUUGUUUUGGAGAUCGUUUCUUGUUUUGGAAAUCGUUACUUGAUUUGCAGAUCGUUUUUUGGUUUGGAGAUCGUUUUCUCCUUGGCAUCGUUCCUCUUUCAGCAGCGCGUUUUUUUUUUCAGCACGUUAUUUCAUUUGCACCAUGAUCCUCUUUUGUACCUUGUUUAGACCUGUGUUGAGUUUGUGAUUUUCGUUUCUGUACUUGAAGCUGUUUUCCUGAACUGAGGCUUUUGGAAAGUUGCAGAUCGUUGGCCCCUGUCGGCCACCGUACACCUGAGUCCCUGAUGGUUUUGAAGCACUGAAGGAGGUCGUCUUUGUGCUCAAACACAGUGUUGACAGCAUGGCUGUUGAAGUUCCACCUUACUGUACUUGCUCUUGAAGGCCUGUGUGCCACCACUCUGUCAAGCACACUGGUUCUCUUGGGGGAUCUUGAAAAAAAUCCUGAGAAUCCAGCUAGGUAAGAGAAGAACUGACCAACUUUUGGGAUACAGGAUGUUAAGUGCUGCAUGAUAAUGUUGAGCUGGUGAGCAUAGCAGUGGACAUAGUGUGCAUUCGCAUACACAUCGCUCACUUUCUUCUGUUCACCACCUGUGGCUCCUCUCAUGAUACUCGCACCAUCAUAGGCCUGGGAGAUGAGCUUGCUCUUCUGGUCAUCAGGGAGAAUGAGGCUCAGCCUCUCCAAAAGUGCUGUGGCAAUGGACUCAGCUGUGGCAAAUUGCAGAGGUAUAAACUCAAAAAAUCUCUCCUGCACUUCAUUCAUUUGUCGAUGUAGCGGAUCACAAGAACAAGCUGACACUGGAUGGAUAUGUCCAUUGUUUCAUCAGCCUGGAUGGAUAUGAAGUCUGCACGCUGAACUUCCUCAAUAAUGGACUCUCUCAAAAACUGCCAGCAUGCAGUCAAGGAGCUCAUUCUGCACUGUUUUGGAUGUCCCUUUAAACACAGUGGCAGUCUGAAGGUGCUCAUGGACAGCUGCAUUUAUGAUGCUACAAAAUCCACCAGCCCUCUGAAAACACCUGGAUUUUCAGAGCUUUCACUCUCAUCAUGGCCUCUCAGGGCGAGCUCAAAGGCACCACAGAACUUAAUGCAGUCUAUUAUUUUAGACAGCACAUGCCUAUUUUUGUAGACCUCCUCGUUAUGUUUACGGAUGCCUAUCCUGUAGCCAUCAUCAAGCUGAGCUGCUAUGUUAGCUCUCCCAACAUGCCCAGACACUUAGCAUUUUCCAUGUGGCUCCUAGCUUGCUCAUGCCUUCUUACUUUCUUGGAAAAAUGCUUUAAAUCUGCCAUACCUGCUCCUUCACUCUCAGUUUCUCCUGCAGUGUUCUCCUCUCGAACGGCAUUGUUUUCAGUGACUUCACUGAAUUUUCUCUCUCCAUUUUCUCCUUUUUUUGGCUCUCUCUAUGACUCGUUGAGAAUCUUGCUUGCUAAUUACGCCUACACUCUGUGCUGAACGUCACUCGCUUGGCGGUUUUAAUUAAAGACAGGCGGAUGAACAAACUGCUCGCUCUCUGCUUCCACCCCAUGGCCGGUGGUGUGUAAAGCGAUCAGAGGGAGACAGCGGGGCGCCAUCAACCUGUGCCCUGCUGUCUCCUAUCUCUUGUAUUGAAGAGGAACGAACUGCGCAUGUCAAAGUUAUAACGAGAGUCAAUGGGGAAAGAUGAGUGCGCCCCGGCCAUAUAUGUCCACUAUUAGUAAUUGUAGACAAUGUCGGACGUUUCUAAUCUGACUUUUUAUUCCAAAUUAUACAUUUUAGUAACUCUAUACAGGCUCUGUUAUCAUUUUGCUUGUUAAAAACAUAGGAUAUACAUGUAAAUGUAAUUUUAGAAACGUUUUAUUAAAGGAAGGGCUGUGACUCUACAUGAUGUGAGACAGAGGGGGCGGCGCCCUAGCGCCCUCUAUUGACCAGCCGCCCCUGCUGGCAUCACUGUGUGGCAUGGCAGCUGCACAGCCUCGCAAAUACACACACAAGCAUACACACAAGCAUACAACACACACACAUGCACACAUACAUGCUCACACACAAACAGACACACACAUUCAUACACACACUGCACUACUGCACUAGGCUCUUUAUUUAUUUACCUACUAAAUAUUGCACAAACUGUUGGUUCACUGCACAUAUAUUUAUGUCGCAGGUUUGUAUAUAUUAGUGUGUAUCUUUAUACUUAUAUUGUCUUAUGAAAGUGUUUUUAUAUUGUUUUGAUGGCUGAAGCCGGGACCAGGGUCCAAUUUCGUAUUGUUUCAUGUGCAAAUGUGGAAUGAUAUGACAAUAAAGAACCUUUUUGACCUUUAA